rnacentral:lncRNA from 1 species
UAUCUUUGUUUAGAUAUCAUGGAAUGUGGGGCCAACAAUCCUUGCCAUGUCAAUGCAAACUGUACCGAAGAACUUGGUAGUUUUAAAUGUGAUUGCAAGCCUGGCUUCACUGGCAAUGGAUUUUUUAACUGCACAAGUAAUUGUCACUUAAUUUUAUUCAUACUCGAAAAACUAUUGGCCUGACAACUACUUUAUUUUCUCCAGGUCAAAUAUAAAUACGUGUUGAAGUACGUCUAACAUGCUAAAUGCAAACACCGAAUGCGAUAUGUCCUCAUUGUUAUUACUGUUAUCUGACUGUUGUUGAACAAAAUAUUUGAUGAUUUUAGUGAAAUUUUCUAAUCUUUACACUCCUAUUCCUCACCUUACCCUAAAAUCCCUUCAUAAUACUUCCCCUAAUCCUAUAACCAUACCCUAAUCCUGAUCGAAUUUUUAGAUGUUGACGAAUGUUCCACUGAUGAAAUUCAUGAUUGCGAUGUCGUAGCUACAUGCACGGAUACAGAUGGUUCAUAUUACUGUACCUGUAAUUCUGGCUACACAGGAGAUGGACGUUUUUGUGCAGGUUAGUUUUCAUUAAAAUAGCCGGAAAUAUAACUCGAUCAUGUCUAACGACAGAUAAAGUGGGGUUGAUUAUAUUUACAUCGAUUUUUAAGGAUUUGCGAAGCAAAAUCCUUUAUGUCAUCGGGUGUGUAAGAUUUAACAAAUAUAAAACAUUUUCCGUGUUGAUAUACAGUUAUAUCAACACGAGUGGAAUUGGGAAAACGAGAAAUUGUAUGGAAACACGACGCCCGAAGGGCGGAGUGUUUUCAUACAAUUUCGAGUUUUCCCAACUUCCACNNNNNNNNNNNNNNNNNNNNUUUUUUUAUAAUAUAGCAAUGUCAAAAGCCCGAAGGAUAAGAAAAAUUUCCGUGUUUACGAGCGGCGGAAAAUUUCCCGUGUUGACAUUGAGUUAUAUCAACACGGCUCUUAGCCAAUCAGCGUUCAGAAUUUACAAAUGCUAUAUUAUAAAGAUAGAUAGAUAGUAGGAAGCUAUUAUCCGCCAUUUGUGUUUGUCGAUAUUCGCAAUCUUUCGGGCAAAAACCCAGCUCAUUUUCGUAGAAUACACUAACGACUAAACAUUGUACCACUUACUUUCAGCUAAACGAAUGAAGAUAUGACUGUUUUGUGCUAGAAAUACAAAUGGAAAAGGUCCUAAAAGACAAAUUCGUUCAACUCAUGAGCGGCCGUAUAAAAUAAAAUCAAAAGCGGUGUUUCCACUAUAAAAACUGUAUUGUUUCAUUUUUCAUUAAUUCGUAUUCAUUGGAAAUGAAUUAGAAAUGUUUGCCUGUUGCGGAAUGCGAAAACAUCGAAAUAAUUUUGUUGUUUUUUUUAUCCAAACGUUAAAUUAUAAAAUAUCUUCAAUAUUUCUACAAAUUCAGUUAUUUUUUUAUCUUUGAGGCAGUGAUAAAGCCAUUUAAAAGUUGUAGUAGAUUAACUUUGAAUAUAACAGUAAUUAAACAAAGUUGACAUUCGAAGAAAAGAUUUGUCAUGCACGAUGUUGUGUUUUGUUAUACUACAUUUUGGGCGAUAUUUUUCCAUCGUUCUUGCAUUAUGAACUGAUAUUUUUCAAUCUUUCUUGCAUUAUAAAAUUGACAACAAAAUUGCAAAUCCUUACGCACUCUUUGAGUGCCUAUUUUUUUAUUUGCCUUCAAUCUGCUUUCCCUAUCUACUUUUAUCGCGCGGGUUUGGAACACUUAUCUUGAUAUCUUUAGCCUUAUUUGAUGCGUGAAUGUUAUUUUGCUUGCGCGUUCAAAAUAGCUUCCCCACGUUUAUGACUAGCUAUACAGUAUAUUUGUGAAACUCAUUAAUAAUUCAUGAAGACUGAAUUAACACAAAAGAAAUCAUGAGCGUGAAUUAAGGAGUUUGUAUAUCUGAUACCAAAUUAUGCGGAUUUACGUAAACUUUAAGUUUAAUUUUCUUACCAAAUAUCAAUAAUUUAUUUUAAAUUCAUUGAAAAAUUCAAAUGUUCUCAUCGAGACAUUUGACAAGCUAUGUAAAACAUUCACAUCCGUGUCGUAUCAGACACAACCUCUCGCUUCCUGCUAGCUCGAGCAGUGGCGCCGUGGGACCCAUGUUUUUUUUUGUUGGUUUUUUUUUUUGGGGGGGGGGCAAGGGCANNNNNNNNNNNNNNNNNNNNAUCUUCCCCCCCCCCCCCCUGACAAUUUCCGACAACAUUGACAAUUUUCAGACGGGUCUCAACAAUUGGGGGAGAGACCUGGCCCCCCGGCCAGUGCGCCACUGAGCUCGAGUCUGUAUAUCAGAUAAAGAUCGGUUGCUCUUGUUUUAUCUAUCUUUAUCUAAAUUCGAAUUAAAUGUGAACAGAUGAAAAUUUGAAGGGUAUAAAUGGAUACUGUGCGCUGAAAGCACAACAAAAAGUGAACUUUACUUUUUUACCUGUUUCAGAUAUCGACGAAUGCCAGAAGAACACAGAUAAUUGUCAUAACAAUGCCACGUGUUCAAAUAAUGAAGGAAGUUUCGACUGCCAAUGUAUCGAAGGUUACACAGGUGAUGGUACAGAUUGUGCAGGUA